AUCUUAAGUAAUCCGACAUAUUUCUUUAAAAUAUCCCUUUGAACCCCCGAAAAGCGUCUUUCAAAGUUACAGUGCAGACAGCCGAUGCUGUCCGGCCAUACUGUCUUUGUGACGUCAUCGGGAGCCAUCGGCAGUACCAACGAAGGCUCCAUUUGGUAUUUCAAUUGACUAUUAGCGUUAAAACAUAUAAGACAUACAGAUAAAUUUUAAUUAUUGUUCCAUUUAUAUCAGUUUAUAAUAAAAAAUGAUUGUCAUUAUUAAUUUUACAGGAAAUAAGAAAAAUGGUGGGGAAUUGGUGGGAAUAGUUUUAUUGUUUUUUCAUUCCUUUUUUGAAUAAUGUAAUAAUUAUCAUUGUAAUUCAACGCGCGCAUGCGUGCAUUAUUAAUGUACAAUAACAUUCGUACACCUAUGACACGUAAAUUAAAAUUGUUUUUUUCAAUCAUAUGAAUUUCGUAUCGCUUUGUAUCGUCGUAAAUUCAGUCAUUAUCGACGAUUAUAAAGCGGUCGGAAUAGGUUAUUAAGAUAAGCAGACCGCGGACGUAUUCGGAAUCUCCAACACACGCAUUUAUUCGUUGUUAUCUGUUGGAAGCCUUAAACAUGUCGAACUUUGUGAAAUUCGCAACUCUCAGGUCUACCACAGAUUGUACGUUUUGGGCAAAAUUUGCAGAAUUGAAAAUAGAUAAAUUCAAAUUGGAUGAGAAAGCAGUGAUUAAUUUAUGGGGAAUUUAUAGCCUCGAGUCUUUAAACGAGGAGAAUACUAAUCCGUUGAUAAUGGAUUGUACGUCUUUCAACGAAGACACUGAAACGUUCAGUCAUAAUUCAUCUGUGGUUUGUUUGGGACAUAUGAUCAAUACCAACACCUUUGAAGCAUUUCGAAAGAUAGAUCCUGAGAAACUCAUUGAUUCAAUCGGAAAGGAUAUAAUUCACAGCAUUCAAGAUGGUUCUAUAUUACAGAAACCUUGGAAACUCUCGUUAUUUUUAGUAGUGGCUUAUUCAGAUUUGAAAAAAUACAGAUUUCAUUAUUGGGUUGCUCAUCCUACUCCUUUAAAAUUGCCUGAAAUGUACUAUGAAGAGAAUCCAAAACCAAUUAACCAGGAAUUUACUAAUAAUUCGGAUGAUCUAUGCAGAGGCUUUCUACGAUUAGACAGCAGAUCAAAAAAUUAUUUUAUAGUCUUAAUAUCUAAAGAAGAUAAAAUGAGCAUCGUUGAUUUAGCCACAGGAAUCAAUACGCUUGAGAUGAAUAAAGUUGAUUCAAAUGGAUCGCAGGAAUACAAGGAACUUUACUUUGCAUUUUAUGACCCUUGUACAACCGCACAACCUGGAUGGCCAUUACGUAAUUUACUAUGUUUAUUAUUAUGGCAUUGUCCUACGUAUUGUUUCACAAAAAUUAUUAAAGUAAUAUCAAUACGAGGAAACAAGGCCCAGAAUAGUAUCGUCUUUAAAUUAAAGACAAAAGAGUACGAAGAUUCGAAGAAAAUCAGAAACUACGUAUUUGGAUGUUCUUUGGUUGGUUGGGAAAGAAACGCAGCUGGUAAAAUGGGCCCUACUAUUGUAGAUCUAUCGCAUACCAUGGACCCAGCCAAAUUAUCAGACAGAGCUAUCAACCUGAACUUAAAAUUAAUGAAAUGGCGUCUUGUACCAGAUUUAGAUCUAGAAAAGGUUAGUAAUCUUAGGUGCCUUCUAUUGGGUGCUGGCACUUUGGGUUGUGCGGUGUCGAGAGUCCUUCUUGGUUGGGGAGUGAACAGCAUAACUUUUGUUGAUAGCUCGAACGUUUCUCACAGUAACACAGUAAGACAAAGUUUGUACACUCAUGAGGAUGCUGUGAAACAUAAGCACAAGGCUCAUGCAGCUAGAGACGCGUUGCUUAAUAUAAGACCAAGUAUGAACGCAGAAGGUGUGGUCCUCCAUAUUCCAAUGCCCGGACACGUCGUUGGUGAAAGCAUGAUGGCCUCUACGAUAAAGUCAUUGGAACAAUUAGAGGAACUCGUCGAGAAGAGCGACGUGGUAUUUCUUUUACUGGAUUCUCGCGAAGCUAGGUGGUUGCCCACUGUUUUGUGCGCGGCGAAGAAUAAAAUUGCGAUCAACGCAGCUUUAGGUUUUGAUUCUUACACCGUCCAGAGACACGGUCCUCGGAACCUUACGGUUCCAUCUUCUCCAGACUUGGACACAAAACAUCCUUGCGGUUCAGAUCUUGGUUGUUACUUUUGUAACGAUGUAACGCAGCCUGGAAACUCGCAAACCGAUAGAACCCUGGACCAGCAGUGCACAGUUAGCAGGCCAGGUUUAUCACAAAUUGCUGCAGGAUUGGCGGUUGAAUUACUGGCAGCUGUAACGCAACAUCCUCAAGGCAUCGAGGCUGGAGCGUUAGUGGGCAACAGCAGGGACAGUAUUACUCAGAAUGAUACCGAAUUAGUCGGUCUGUUGGGAUGUGUACCGCAUACGAUACGCGGUUCUCUAUGGAAUUACGAUACACAGUUGACGAUUACACACAGGUUCACCGCGUGUACCGCGUGUUCCGUCCCUGUUAUCAUGGAAUAUAAAAAUCGCGGUUUAUCGUUCGUAUUGGACGCGUGUAAUAUUCCAAACUAUUUGGAGAAAUUAUCUGGUUUGGAACUGAUAUUGAAGAGACCCGAUUUAGAGGAUCUUUGCUACGCGUUGGACAACAUAAGCGACGACGAAGAAGAGAAAAAAGAUGAUACGCCUUGAAAAAAUAAAAUUAUCAUCGCUUGUACACAUUUUACUUUGGACGAAGAUGCGUUUGUUACAUGUAUAAUAGAUUAAGAUUGACACUCGACAUAUGUCUUUGUAAAGUAUAAUCUUCAGAUCAAUUUAUUAUUACAGAUACAAUUUUUAUAUAAAAUUUUAUACAAAUACUGAGAAAAAAAAGAAAGAAACGCAAUGCAACAAAAUGUCUUUCAAUCUCGUUUUUAACGAUCGGAUAACGCAAGCAGGAUAUAGAUUAAUAAAUGUUAAUAAAUACAGUGGUUGUCUAUGGUA